GCAUAGGUAGUGUAAUGGAUAAGCACAACAGACCGAAUAUUUGUAGAUGCGGGUUCGAGACCCGUCUGAGGUC
rnacentral:tRNA from 1 species